CGGACAGCGCAGGGGUCCCGGCGGCCGCGGCCUCCGGGUGAGAAAUACCCAUGGAACCUGAUGCGGGUCAUUCCGCCGUAGGGACGCGUGAAGCCUUCUUCC
rnacentral:ncRNA from 2 species